CCCUUUGCUUGAUGCUAACAAGAAAAUCUGAGUUACGACACUAUUGGUAGCUGCUAACAAAGUGUGUGACAAAACACCGGCUCAACUGAUGGAAGGAGCCCACGGAGUUUGGCUACAAAUUAGAGUACCAAUGAUGAGCUACCUUUCUCAGGAUCGAAAAAAAAAGCUCGACAGAGAGUCGCGUCAUUGACCCCUUGUAGAAGCAUCAUAGAUCGAAAAUUCUCUAAAUGGUCC
rnacentral:lncRNA from 1 species